UUCCUCAAAUCAUUUUGUUGUGAUUACAAAAUUGAAUGUGUAAAACCUUUCACAGAGCCUUCCUUACCUGAAACAAUUUAGUAACAGCAUCUUGUUUUGUACCGAGUCUCGCUCCUGCUUUGACGGUUUGACCUCUUAUCAUGUAUCAUGAAAAGUGAGAUGGAAGAUUGGCUAUAAAACCGCAAUCACCGUCCUGCAGACCAUAACUUCCAAUGCACUCAGUAUUAGUGACUAAUUUCUGACCACCAAAACACAAGCAGAAAUCCUCGGUUGAUUGCACAAAAAAAUAAGAUCUAACAAAGAGAUUGUGAUGCCUCGGUUGAUUGCACAAAAAAAAUAAGAUCUAACAAAGAGAUUGUGAUGCCUCGGUUGAUUGCACAAAAAAAAUCUAACAAAGAGAUUGUGAUGCCUUCGUUAAGUUGACAAUUAGAUGAUAAAGAUUAAAAAAAAAAAUCUAACAAGGACAAGGAGAUUAUGAUAAUACAUCUAAUUGAACCUCUCUUAAAAAUAAUAAAAAAAAAGAACCAAAUAACCAAUUAUAAGCUACUUCGUUAAGUUGACAAAGAAAAAAGCUACUUCGUUAAACUCUGCUCAUAUAUAAACUAGAAAAAUCCGUACAUCGUUGAUACGCAUCCUUAAAGUGGAGUCAGUGAAGAAAGAGAUGAGACCGAUCCACCUCGAGGUCAAGAAUGAAAACAGUGCAAAAGACAGGAUCGCUUUGCAUGAACAACCAGCCUUGUUUGCAUAGCAACCACAAUCCCAACGUUUCUUGCUCGGUGAGAUUCUACCAUCGCAGUUAGAACGACUUUUCAUCCAACUUCGUCCUAACCAAAUGAUUAAUAGUUAGUAAUAUGGUAAUGGUAUAAAUUUAAAUGUUAAGAUUAUUUUAGAUUGUUGCUCUAUAGAUUAGAAAGUUGCAAUAUUUCACCAUUCAUUUAGUAAUGACACCAAAUAAAUGUUAUCCCUUAUAUCCAGAAGUUAAGGUCCUACUACACUUAUGUGGUAUGAUUUAAAAAAAAACUAACAAUAUGUGAUUUUGUUGUAUACCCUAUAAUCAGGGAUGUUAAUAAUGGGUUUUUACCCAUAGGGUACCCGAAGCCCGGUUGAUAUUUGAAACCCAAAACCCGUACUUUUAGAUUUUAAAACUCGCGGGUUUUUGUUGGGCGGGUCUUGUUUUGUUUAUUACCCUAUCGGGUUUACACUGUCGGGCUUCGGGUACCCGAUGGGUAUUUAAAAAAAAAAAAAUUAACAGAAACGACUUCGUUUUAUAUCAUAAUUUACCCUAAUUUUUUGUUUCUCCCGUGGCCACAGCCACAAAACAUUGAUCUAGAAAUUAGACACGCUUUCUUGGGACGAUUCAUUCUAGAUUGGGUUCAUUGGUAAGAUUUCGAAAUGGGGUUUUCUGUUUUGAUUCUGAUAACUUUAGAAUCUGGUUGACUAACCAUUGAUUCUAUCCUAAUUGGUUUAGGCCCCAACGAAAGGAGUCAAAGCGGUUACCAGAAGAAGGUCCGUACGUGAUUACCUUCCUCCUCGUUCUCUCCAUUGUGUCUCAGUGAGACAGUCUCACGCUUCUUAUUCUUUAGUCCUCUCUACGGCUCGUAAUCAUAUCUCCGGUGAGUUCUUUAGAUUUUUUUUUGGUGACUUGUGGUGACUGAAAUUGUUGUCUUUGUGUGUGUGUUUAUGGUUUACAGUGUAAACUUUGCACGUAGUAGAAGCUUUAAUUUCAUGGUUACCAAGUUUCUUACUUGUCAUGAAAAGUCUACAUGUGGCGAUUGAUAUUGUUGUCUUUGUCUUUUUUCACUGUUUGUGUGUUUAAAAAAUGAAAUAUUGUUAUCACUGCACAUUUAAAAUCAUUUCUAGUUUUUCUCCAAUCUCCCUCACCAGAUUAAAUAAUAGCUUAAAUUUUAUGAUUGUUUAAUGUUUUUUCAGGAUGGAUUCACAAACACUUGACACACUAGCAGCUCUUGAGGCUGCGAAUGAGCAAAUGGAGGUUGAUAAUGAUGAUGAAGCAGAAACUCAAGGACAAGCACAAAGUGAAACUCAACCUGUUCAAGCAACUGAAACUGUGAGUCAUUCUAAACGCGCGAAGUCUCUUGUUUGGAACCAUUUCGUAGUAGUAGGAGUAGAGGCAGAUGGAAAAAGAAGAAGUCGUUGCAUUCAUUGUGAUAAGAAGUUAGUAUCAGAAUCUGCCUCAGGAACAUCUUCUUUGAAACGACAUUUAGAAAUCUGUCCCAAAAAGCCUCCGUCAAGUGGUGAUCGUGAGUAUGAUCCGAAAGUAGAUCGUGAUAUGAUCAGUGAGAUCAUUAUUUUCCAUGAUCAGCCUUUCAAAUACGUUGAGUACGAGAAGGUUAGAGCUAGGGACAAGUACCUGAAUCCCAAAUGCCAGCAUAUAUCUAGGCAAACUGCUGGAGCUGAUGUCUAUAAGAGAUAUGAGGAAGAAAGAGAGAAGCUGAAGAAAGAGUUAUCAGAAUUUAAGGGUCGGGUAUCUUUUACCUCAGAUAUGUGGACAGCUUCUACUACUAUGACGGGAUAUAUCUGUCUGACAGCUCACUAUGUUGAUGAGAGCUUCAAGUUGAACAACAAGAUACUAGUCUUCUGUGAGUUGAAACCUCCACAUACUGGUGAAGAAGUGGCUAACAAACUUAUUAGUUGUUUGAAGGAGUGGGGAUUAGAGAAAAAGGUCUUCUCUAUGACCUUGGAUAAUGCUACUUAUAACGAUAGUAUGCAGAAGAUACUCAAGCAUCGACUUCAAAUGGCUAGCGGCAACGGGUUGUUGUGUGAUGGGAAGUUCUUCCACGUUAGAUGCUGUGCACACAUUUUGAAUCUCAUAGUGAAAGAAGGUUUAGAAAUUGCUGUUGGUCUUCUGGAAAAUAUCCGAGAGAGUGUUAAGUUUGUCAAAGCAUUCGGGUCAAGGAUAGAAGCAUUCGCAGCAUGUGUUCAGAGUGCAGGGAUUAGGAGUGGAGCUGGAUUGUCUCUAGAUGUACCAACCAGAUGGAAUUCAACUUAUGAUAUGCUUGCUAGAGCUCUGAAGUUUCGUGACGCAUUCACUAGUUUGAAAGAGUGUGACAGGAGCUACAAAUCACUGCCUUCAGAGGAUGAGUGGGAUCGAGGGCAGAAAAUUUGCGAGUUUCUGAAGCCUUUCAGCACUAUUACCACGUUCUUCUCAGGCGUUAGAUAUCCCACGGCUAAUGCAUAUUUUCUACAAGUGUGGAAAAUUGAACGCUUACUGAUGAAGUAUGCCAGUUGUGAUGAUCCAGUAAUGAAAGAGAUGGCUAAGAAAAUGAGAGUUAAGUUUUCUAAGUAUUGGGAUGAAUACAGUCUUGUUCUAGCUAUGGGAGCUGUUUUAGAUCCGAGAUUGAAGCUGCAAAUACUUAGAACAGCUUAUGACAAAGUGGAUCCUAGAAACGCUGAGAAAAAGGUUGAAGUUGUUAAGAAGAAUUUGAAAAAGCUUUAUGAAGAGUAUGGAGCUAAUUUUCGGAGUUCUUCUUCAACCUCUUCAGCAACACCGACUCCAUAUGAGCUUCUUACUGAGUCACCAUUAGAAGAUGAUCUGAAUUAUGUAAGUCUUUUGUAGCUUAUAAAUUCAUAUAUCAUAAUUGUUAUCUAUCUAAUGUGAUGCUUGUUUAAUACAAUAACGUAGGAUCUGUUUGAACUUGAGAGGAGCAUCCAGCCUGGUCUAGACAAUAAGAAGACAAAUCUGGAGAUGUAUUUAGAAGAUCCUAGGCUAGAUACGAGGUCUUUUACCGACAUAGAGGUUUUAGGUUAUUGGAAAGAUCAAGGACAGCGCUAUGGCGAUUUAGCUUCUCUUGCAUGUGAUUUGCUCAGCAUUCCAAUCACAACUGUGGCAUCGGAAUCAGCAUUUAGCGUUGGAGGACGGGUGAUUAGUCCUUACAGAAACCGUCUUCUUCCAAAAAAUGUUCAAGCACUACUUUGCACUCGAAACUGGUUAAGAGGUUUUGCUGAAUUUGAAGGUAGAUUAUUAGUUUUGAUAUUUGGUUUCUGAUUUAGUUUUAAAAAAAACUAACAAUAUGUGAUUUUGUUGUAUACCCUAUAAGGCUAUAAUCGUUUACCACCAGGGCCUCAUGUUAAGCCUACGCAGCCAAAUGGUGUGAAGUAUUAUGUGAAACGCAUCGAACCUCUUAGGUGGCUCGUUGAGCUCGAAACGUCUCCUCACGUACCGCAAAGUACGUUUAGUGUAAAUCGUUGAGAUUUGAACUGAGAAACUGGGUAUGUUCGUUUGCCACUAGGGGCUGCGAUUAGGUCAUCAUAUAUCCAUGCGGAUGGUUGUAACAUGUAAGGAUAAAACCUUAACGUAAUUCGUCCAAAAAAAAAAUCGUAACGUUUAAAAGGAUUUCACAUUUGGUUGUGAAAAUGGCCAAACCCAAACAAACAAAAACCUUAUCUCUGUGGCCUCAUCAGACAUCACAUGUGGGUGUCAUAAAACUGAUGUGGCUUGUGGGUCAAUGACUCCUUUCACAUCCCAACGUCUAUUUUCUUGUCACUAAAACCUACUAUAUUUGUUUUCUUGCUUCACUCUUUUUUGAUAAAUGAAAUGUAAGUACUCAACGCCUGACGUUAUAUUCAACACAUUAUCCGAUCAUCUAAUAUUUCGGUUGCUUUUAUCCUUCUUUCUUCUGAUAACCGUGGUGUGGGAUAUACAUUACAUUAUUCGAUUGUCUAAUAUUUCGGUUGCUUUUAUCUUUUAUUUUUUUUCUUCUAAUAACCGUAGUGUGAUACCAACAACCUUUUACGCCCAAUAACUAAUUACUACGAGAUCUUAUACCUGUGAAAUAAUUAAUUUCAUUUAAAAUGUGGCUAAGUGACCAGUGUGAAUCAAAC
rnacentral:lncRNA from 1 species